rnacentral:rRNA from 2 species
AAGGUAGCGAAAUUCCUUGUCGGGUAAGUUCCGACCUGCACGAAUGGCGUAACGAUCUCCACACUGUCUCGGCCAGAGACUCGGUGAAAUUGCAGUCGCGGUGAAAAUUCCGUGUACCCGCAGAAAGACGGAAAGACCCUGUGCACCUUUACUAUAGCUUGACAUUGGAUUUUGGGCCUGCAUGUGUAGGAUAGGUGGGAGGCUGCGAACCCUGUACGCCAGUAUGGGGGGAGCCAUCCUUGAAAUACCACCCUUGCAUGUUUAAGAUCCUAACUUCUUCCGGUUAUCCCGGAGAAAGACAGUGUCUGGCGGGUAGUUUGACUGGGGCGGUCGCCUCCUAAAGUGUAACGGAGGCAUGCAAAGGUUCCCUCAGCCUGAUCGGAAACCAGGCGCUGAGUGCAAACGCAUAAGGGAGCUUGACUGUAAGAGAGACAUCUCGAACAGGAACGAAAGUUGGCGUUAGUGAUCCGGUGGUCCCGAAUGGAAGGGCCAUCGCUCAUUGGAUAAAAGGUACGCCGGGGAUAACAGGCUGAUCGCAUCCAAGAGUUCACAUCGACGAUGCGGUUUGGCACCUCGAUGUCGGCUCAUCACAUCCUGGGGCUGAAGCAGGUCCCAAGGGUACGGCUGUUCGCCGUUUAAAGUGGUACGCGAGCUGGGUUUAAAACGUCGUGAGACAGUUUGGUCCCUAUCUUCUGUGGGCGAAGGAGAAUUGAGAGGGCCUGUCCCUAGUACGAGAGGACCGGGAUGGACGCACCCCUGGUGAUCCUGUUGUCGCGCCAGCGGCAUAGCAGGGUAGCUAUGUGCGGAAGGGAUAACCGCUGAAAGCAUCUAAGCGGGAAGCCUGCCUCAAGAUAAGUUCUCCCCUCGAAAGAGCUGAAGGGCCCGGGUAGACUACCCGGUCGAUAGGCUGGAGGUGUAAGCGCGGCGACGUGCUCAGCUGACCAGUACUAAUAGCCCGAGCGGCUUAUUUUU